AAUCAACGCUGGCGGCGUGCCUCAGACAUGCAAGUCGAACGAUUAAACUUCCUUUCGGGGAAGAUAUAAAGUGGCGUACGGGUGAGUAACACGUAGGUAAUGUACCUUUGGGUGGGGAAUAACUUAGGGAAACUUAAGCUAAUACCGCAUAAUGCAGCGGCUCGAUAUCGAGACAGUUGUUAAAGGAGUAAUCCGCCUAAAGAGCAGCCUGCGGCAGAUUAGCUAGUUGGUAAGGUAAUGGCUUACCAAGGCUACGAUCUGUAACCGACCUGAGAGGGUGGUCGGUCACACUGACACUGAAUAACGGGUCAGACUCCUACGGGAGGCAGCAGUCGGGAAUUUUGGGCAAUGGGCGAAAGCCUGACCCAGCAACGCCGCGUGAAGGAUGAAGUCUCUCGGGAUGUAAACUUCGUAAGAAUAGGAAGAAUAAAUGACGGUACUAUUUGUAAGGUCCGGCUAACUACGUGCCAGCAGCCGCGGUAAU
rnacentral:rRNA from 1 species